GCCCGGGUAGCUCAGUUGGUAGAGCACGUGACUGAAAAUCACGGUGUCGGCGGUUCGACUCCGUCCCCGGGCA
rfam:Novosphingobium sp. SCN 63-17 ABT10_C0015, whole genome shotgun sequence.